UGGAGAGCUUUGCUCAUAAUCUUAUUAACAGUAAACUAAAGUAAAACAUUGUACACAAAGAAACACUGAACCACAUUAAGUGUUUUACAACAAACAGCAGGAACAUUUUUAACAAAGUUACUGAACAUUUAAUUUUUACUUAUUAUAUAAGUGUAUUUAUUGUAUAUACAUAUUUGUCUAGUUUCAUGACAUAUUUUAAUUACACUCAUAAUAUGUUGGAAAAAUGGGGGGUACAGGGACGGGUGGGGGUUAGGCUUCUAAAUAGAACAGCGGGGCGGCCACCUCAGAGCAAGGCACUUCACAACGAGUGGAAAGUAGUAAAUGUAAAUAUGAGUAUUUGUUAGUUUUGUCAGGCAGCAUCAGGUUAUUGGUUCUCUUCCCUCAGAGGAGCCAGGCAGCAGCAGGUUGUUGGUUCUCUUCCCUCAGAGGAGCCAGGCGGCAGCAGGUUGUUGGUUCUCUUCCCUCAGAGGAGCCAGGCAGCAGCAGGUUGUUGGUUCUCUUCCCUCAGAGGAGCCAGGCAGCAGCAGGUUGUUGGUUCUCUUCCCUCAGAGGAGCCAGGCGGCAGCAGGUUGUUGGUUCUCUUCCCUCAGAGGAGCCAGGCGGCAGCAGGUUGUUGGUUCUCUUCCCUCAGAGGAGCCAGGCGGCAUCAGGUUGUUGGUUCUCUUCCCUCAGAGGAGCCAGGCAGCAGCAGGUUGUUGGUUCUCUUCCCUCAGAGGAGCCAGGCGGCAGCAGGUUGUUGGUUCUCUUCCCUCAGAGGAGCCAGGCGGCAGCAGCAGGUUGUUGGUUCUCUUCCCUCAGAGGAGCCAGGCGGCAGCAGCAGGUUGUUGGUUCUCUUCCCUCAGAGGAGCCAGGCACUGAGGAGCGUUGAAAAGCCUCCCUGCACUGCGCGGAGCGGGCGGGGCCUCUGUCGGACCUGUUGUGCGGCUCUCUCUGCGGAUCUCUCUGCGGAUCGUGCAGGUUUCUCUCCGCUGGACUGUCUGCGGGUUUCUGGAAAUCUCUCCGCGCCGGUUGGACCCCGGUGGACCGCAGAGCGGCUCGCCGAGCAGAGGAAACGUCUUCCUGAUGAAGAAGGUUCCUUCUCCUCCUCACACACGCAGCAGGUUGCCUCAACAGGCUCUUUCAGUUCUGGCCGUGUGUUUUCCGGAGGAAUGAAAGAAAGACGGACUGUUUCCUGAACGCAGUAAGUAUCUGUGUGUGUGAUGAGGCUUUGAUUGACAGCUCUCUGGUUAAUUGUGCUGUGAUUGAAUUAGCGAGCAGGAAUCAGAUCUGUGAAUAAGUGUCGC
ensembl:lncRNA